UACGGAGGGUGCAAGCGUUAUCCGGAUUCACUGGGUUUAAAGGGUGCGUAGGUGGGCUUGUAAGUCAGCGGUGAAAUCUCCGGGCUUAACCCGGAAACUGCCAUUGAUACUAUAAGUCUUGAAUUAUCUGGAGGUAAGCGGAAUAUGUCAUGUAGCGGUGAAAUGCUUAGAUAUGACAUAGAACACCAAUUGCGAAGGCAGCUUACUACGGAUCGAUUGACACUGAGGCACGAAAGCGUGGGGAUCAAACAGGA
rnacentral:rRNA from 1 species